CCACCCGCCUCGGCCUCCCAAAGUGCUGGGAUUACAGGCUUGAGCCACCGCGCCCGGCCGCUAUUGACAUUUUUUAAGGCUGCUAGUAAUAAGGGAGGGCUUUUCUGUAAUGUGCAGUUCGUAUGCUCCUAUUUUUUGGUUAACGUGGGUAGCAGGGCUCUUGAAGUGAAGUGUGAAGGAACACAGAGGGCGGGAGAUUUCCUAGGGGGAUUCCAGUGGGUAAUUGUCAGGAAAUACAUAAAGGAGCAGCGAUAGAAAUAGUUGUUUUUGUAGUUAGCGGUCUGAGAUCGGGGGUGUUGAGUUGACAUAGGCGGAAAGAUUACUUAGGGAGGUGCGUAGAGGAGCAGCAGCCUAUUGGGAUGAGAUAUCUGGGGUGUCUCUGUCGACUGUCUAGGAGGUAGAGUUCUAGGGGUACAGGUGGGGGGUGUUGAAGGAAGUCUGGAGGUACAGAGACAUGGGAGAGUUUGUCCAGUUGGUCAGUAGGGUGGGAACAGCUGUGUAGUGAGAUGAGGAGAGGGAAGAGCAUAGCCAGCAAUCUAAGGAAGGGUUCAAGUUUGCUAGGAUASAGUGGGUUAGGUUUAUGGUGUGUUGGAGGUAAUCAGGGAGAGGUAGGGGGUAGCAGGUGAAAGGGAGCGAGAUUAAGAGUGAGUGUAAAAGAAAAGGACUUCAUCAGGGUGGAAGAACUGGAGAGUUCCUUGCCGCUGAAGAUCAUCUAGCCACUCUAAGAGAGUUGAGGGUGGCAGCCUGGGGAUAAAACCACAAAAUAUCGGCCAUAAUUGCCUGAAGGAAAAACGUAAACUGGCAGUGUAAACAAAAACAGGGCA